rnacentral:rRNA from 1 species
UACGGGGGGGCAAGCGUUGUUCGGAAUUACUGGGCGUAAAGGGCUCGUAGGCGGCCAACUAAGUCAGACGUGAAAUCCCUCGGCUUAACCGGGGAACUGCGUCUGAUACUGGAUGGCUUGAGUUUGGGAGAGGGAUGCGGAAUUCCAGGUGUAGCGGUGAAAUGCGUAGAUAUCGAGAGGAACACCAGAGGUGAAGACGGGUUGCUGGGCCGACACUGACGUGAUAGCGCGAAAGCCAGGGGAGCAAACGGGG